rfam:Sorghum bicolor cultivar BTx623 chromosome 1, whole genome shotgun sequence.
UAAUUUUGUCCCAAGUCAAACUUCUCUAACUUUGAAAAAAGUCUGUAGAAAAAUAUAUUAACAUCUACAAUACCAAAUAAAUGCACUAUCAAGACAUAUUUCAUGUUGGAUUUAAUGAAACUAAUUUGUUGUUGAUCUUGGUGCACUUUUCUAUAAACUUGGUCAAAGUUAGAGAAGUUUGACUUAGGACAAAACUAA